rnacentral:rRNA from 1 species
CCAGCUCCAAUAGCGUAUAUUUAAGUUGUUGCAGUUAAAAAGCUCGUAGUUGGAUUUCGGGCGGCGCUGCCGGUCCGCCGCUUCGGUGUGUACUGGUGGGCGCCGUCUUCCUGGCGAGGAUCCGUUCUGUCCUUUACUGGGCGGGCGGAGAGUCGCCGCUGUUACUUUGAAAAAAUUAGAGUGUUCAAAGCGGGCUUACGCUUGAAUAUAUUAGCAUGGAAUAACACGAUAGGACUCCGGCCCUAUUUUGUUGGUCUUCAGGACUGGAGUAAUGAUUAAGAGGAACAGUUGGGGGCAUUCGUAUUUCAUUGUCAGAGGUGAAAUUCUUGGAUUUAUGAAAGACGAACUUCUGCGAAAGCAUUUGCCAAGGAUGUUUUCA